rnacentral:rRNA from 1 species
AUUGAACGCUGGCGGCAGGCCUAACACAUGCAAGUCGAACGCUUGGCGGACGGGUGAGUAAUGUCUGGGAAACUGCCCGAUGGAGGGGGAUAACUACUGGAAACGGUAGCUAAUACCGCAUACCAUCGGAUGUGCCCAGAUGGGAUUAGCUAGUUGGUGGGGUAAAGGCUCACCUAGGCGACGAUCCCUAGCUGGUCUGAGAGGAUGACCAGCCACACUGGAACUGAGAUACGGUCCAGACGCCUACGGGAGGAAGCAGUGGGGAAUAUUGCACAAUGGGCGAAAGCCUGAUGCAGCCAUGCGGCGUGUAUGAAGAAGGCCUUCGGGUUGUAAAGUACUUUCAGAGGGGAGGCGUUACCCGCAGAGGAAGCACCGGCUGACUCCGUGCCAGCAGCCGCGGUAAUUC